rnacentral:rRNA from 1 species
GACGAACGCUGGCGGCGUGCUUAACACAUGCAAGUCGAACGGAAAGGCCCUGCGUUUGUGGGGUGCUCGAGCGGCGAACGGGUGAGUAACACGUGAGUAACCUGCCCUUGACUUUGGGAUAACUUCAGGAAACUGGGGCUAAUACCGGAUAGGAGCUCCUGCUGCAUGGUGGGGGUUGGAAAGUUUCGGCGGUUGGGGAUGGACUCGCGGCUUAUCAGCUUGUUGGUGGGGUAGUGGCUUACCAAGGCUUUGACGGGUAGGCGGCCUGAGAGGGUGACCGGCCACAUGGGGACUGAGAUACGGCCCAGACUCCUACGGGAGGCAGCAGUGGGGAAUAUUGCACAAUGGGCGGAAGCCUGAUGCAGCAACGCCGCGUGCGGGAUGACGGCCUUCGGGUUGUAAACCGCUUUCGCCUGUGACGAAGCGUGAGUGACGGUAAUGGGUAAAGAAGCACCGGCUAACUACGUG